AGUGGCAGACGGGUGAGUAACAUGUGGGUACCUACCCUUUGGCCUGGAAUAACACGAGGAAACUUGUGCUAAUACCGGAUAAGCUUUACGGAGAAAGCUUUAUGCACCAUUGGAUGAGCCCGCACUUGAUUAGUUUGUUGGUAGGGUAAUGGCCUACCAAGACUAUGAUCAAUAGCUGAUUUGAGAGGAUGAUCAGCCACAUUGGGACUGAGACACGGCCCAAACUCCUACGGGAGGCAGCAGGGGGAAUCUUGCACAAUGGAGGAAACUCUGAUGCAGCGAUGCCGCGUGAGUGAAGAAGGCCUUUGGGUUGUAAAGCUCUUUCGUCGGGGAAGAAAAUGACUGUACCCGAAUAAGAAGGUCCGGCUAACUUCGUGCCAGCAGCCGCGGUAAUACGAAGGGACCUAGCGUAGUUCGGAAUUACUGGGCUUAAAGAGUUCGUAGGUGGUUGAAAAAGUUGGUGGUGAAAUCCCAGAGCUUAACUCUGGAACUGCCAUCAAAACUUUUCAGCUAGAGUAUGAUAGAGGAAAGCAGAAUUUCUAGUGUAGAGGUGAAAUUCGUAGAUAUUAGAAAGAAUACCAAUUGCGAAGGCAGCUUUCUGGAUCAUUACUGACACUGAGGAACGAAAGCAUGGGUAGCGAAGAGGAUUAGAUACCCUCGUAGUCCAUGCCGA
rnacentral:rRNA from 1 species